UGAGGAAUAUUGGUCAAUGGGCGCAAGCCUGAACCAGCCAUGCCGCGUGCAGGAAGAAUGCCCCUAUGGGUUGUAAACUGCUUUUAUUUGGGAAUNAACCUCUUAACGUGUAGAGUNCUGACGGUACCAUAUGAUAAGCACCGCUAACUCCGUC
rnacentral:rRNA from 1 species